CAGACCUCUAAUCGGAAAAGACCACCCGCUGAGUUUAAGCAUAU
rnacentral:rRNA from 1 species